UCGUGACGUCAUAUUUCAAAAUGGCAGAGCCCGCGGAAAGACCCCCUGGAGUCGACUCCAUUUCCCAAGAAAAGAUGUCAACAGCGCGACUUGUAACAAUUAUAAGGCCGAGGAGGGUUAUUUGAACACACACCAUUCAAUUAUUAUAAAUGAAAGUCACGUUUUGUAACCGCUCUGGUCUCGUCCCAGCGGAAGUGACGCUAGCACGUCAUCAGAAUACAACAGAUCAACACGACGAGAGAGACAUUCUGCCGCUAGACAAAGGUCACCGAGCAGCGACGAAGUUUGCAUUUUCGGUAGAGGUCCAGGGAGCCACGAGGGCGGUGCUAAAGAGACGCGGGUUGCUGACCCCCGGCCUACACCCUAGACUGGCCGCCAGUUCAUCACAGGACACAUGAACAAGCCUUCGCCCUCAAAUCAGAGAAAGCAGCAUCUGCUCAUCCAGAAACAACAACACCAGAAAUGUGUCCCGUGAAAAACCGUCCGACCAGAACUCUAAUAACUAAAGUUCCUUGGGUGAAUAAUGGUAACUCACUACACCGGUAUGUUUUAGGGCUUUCAUGGCGAGUUUACUGCCUGAAAUAAGUAAUAACUUUACACUGCUUUUUAUUACAAAUGGCAACAGCAGAGGAUGGAUGUCCCAUAACAAGAAGGUGGAGAAAAAGAAGAAGCUUAUCGACUACGGUGUCUGCACGGACUACAAAGGCGGACCUGCACAAAUUUUCAGGUACCAGAAGUACCUCCGUGUCUCCGCAGUGAGCCGUGCGCCUCACCUGCCGAUCUUCCCCCUGGACUCUGACUGCCUUCCUCGACCUCCGCACUCGGACCUGGACUUCUGGACGCCUCUCUCCUGCCCCCACGGACCUCGCUCAGAUCACGAACCUCUUUUGCUUCUCCCCUCUGGACUUCUUUGCUGCCACAACCAACACACACUUACAAUAACCUCUGGUAACUUAUAUUUGUUAACUUCUACACAUAGCCCUGCAUCCACACACAUAGUAGCAUACACACCCGACGUAAUCAUCAAGCUCAAAUAAAACCCGUUGAGCUAGACCUCCUGCUGUCGUACCGUCUCCUUCCCCCUUCGUCUUACGUAACAGUACCGGUACCAAAAUGUAUUUUGAUACUUUUCUAAAAAAAAGGGUACCACAAAA